GACGAACGCUGGCGGCGUGCUUAACACAUGCAAGUCGAACGGAAAGGCCCUGCUUUUGUGGGGUGCUCGAGUUGCGAACGGGUGAGUAACACGUGAGUAACCUGCCCUUGACUUUGGGAUAACUUCAUGCAACUUGGUCUCAUACCGGAUAGGAGCUCCUGCUUCAUGGUGGGGGUUGGAUAGUUUCGGCGGUUGGUGAUGGACUCGCGGCUUAUCAGCUUGUUGGUGGGGUAGUGGCUUACCAAGGCUUUGACGGGUAGCCGGCCUGAGAGGGUGACAGGACACAUUGGGACUGAGAUAAGGCACAGACUCGUACGGGAGGCAGCAGUGGGGAAUAGUGCACAAGGGGCGGAAGCCUGAUGCAGCAACGCCGCGUGCGGGAUGACGGGAUGCGGGUUGUAAACCGAUGUCGCCUGUGACGAAGCGUGAGUGACGGUAAUGGGUAAAGAAGCACCGGCUAACUACGUG
rnacentral:rRNA from 1 species